rnacentral:rRNA from 1 species
AUGCACCUGCCUGCCUGCCGUGCCAUGGACUCGCUACCACGGACAAGAGCAGCAAGCUACGGCGAUGGCACUGGCAAGCAGAAGCCACAUGUGCUCGUCGUGCCGUACCCAGCGCAGGGCCACCUGCUACCGCUUCUCGACCUGGUGGUGCUGCUCGCCGGACGGGGGCUCGCGCUCACCGUCGCCGUCACGCCAGGCAACGUACGGCUCCUCGCCGCAUUGCCGCCGUCCGUCGCCACUGUCGUGCUGCCGUUCCCAUCCGGGCCUUUUCUCCCGGCCGGAUGUGGCGAGAACACCAAGGACCUUCCGGCGGACCUCUUCCGGCCGUUCAUGGCGUCGCUGGUGGCCCUCUCGGCGCCGCUCCUCGCCUGGUGCAAGGCCCAGCCCCGUCCCGUCACGUCCAUUGUCUCCGAUCUGUUCAUGGGCUGGACGCGUCCGCUCGCCGACGAGCUCGGCGUGACGCACGUGGCCUUCUCGCCCACAAGCGUCCACUACCUCGCAUUCACUCGCUCCCUCUGGCGCCGCAUGCCGACGGGGCACGACGAAGACGGCGACGAGAGGGUGGUCUCCUUCCCGGAGCUGCCCGGCUCGCCUAACAUCCCAUGGCGCCGCCUGUCGUGGCUGUUCCGGAUGCAUGUGGUCGGCGAUGAGGUCUCCGAGACGAUCCGGCAGAUCCUGCUGUGGAGUCUCGAGAGCUCCUGCUUCGUGGUCAACUCGUUCGCGGCUCUCGAGGGCGGCUGCUUCACGGACGCGCUGGCGGCCAACCGGGUGUUCAUGGUGGGCCCGCUGUCGGAAGCCGCCGAUGUGCGUGGCGGCGAGGAGGAGCCCGCGGAGGUGUGCGCGUGGCUGGACGCGUUCGGCGACGGCUCCGUCGUGUACAUCAGCUUCGGGUCGCAGGAGGCGCUGUCGCCGGCUCAGGCGGCGUGCGUGGCCGAAGCUCUGAGGCUGAGCCCGACCGCCGCGUUCGUCUGGGUGGCGAGGAGCGGCACCGUCGUGCCCGAGGGGUUCGAGGCGGCCACGGCAUCGCGCGGGAGGGUGAUCCGGCGCUGGGCGCCGCAGCUGGACAUCCUGCGCCACCGCGCCGUUGGGUGGACGCUCACACACUGCGGCUCGAACUCGGUGAUGGAGUCGAUCGCCGCUGGCGUGGGGAUGCUCACGUGGCCGAUGGCCGCCGACCAGUUCACAAACGCGUGGCUGCUUGCGGAGACCGGCGUGGCCGUGCCGGUGGCGGAGGGCGCCGACACCGUGCCCGACGUCGGGAAGGUGGCAACCGCCAUCUCCACUGCUGUCGCGUCAAAAGAGGGGGAGUCCACGAGCAGGCGCGUGGUGGAGCUCGGUCGGAAGGCGGCAGCCGCGGUGGCAGUAGGGGGAACGUCGUACAAUGAUUUGGAAGAGUUGGUGUGUGCCCUAAGUGAUGUCCACGUGGCAUCAUCAUGCUCCGUUGAAUAG